AUACGUAGGGGGCAAGCGUUAUCCGGAUUUACUGGGUGUAAAGGGAGCGUAGACGGAAGGCCAAGUCUGAUGUGAAAGCCCGCGGCUCAACUGCGGGACUGCAUUGGAAACUGGUCAUCUGGAGUGCAGGAGGGGUAAGCGGAAUUCCUAGUGUAGCGGUGAAAUGCUUAGAGAUUAGGAGGAACACCGGUGGCGAAGGCGGCUAUGUGGACAGUAACGGACGCUGAGGCGCGAAAGAGUUGGGAGCAACCAGGAUUAGAUACCCAGGUAGUCCACGCCGUAAGCGAUGAAUACUAGGUGUAGGGGGUAUCGACUCCCACUGUGCCGCAGUUAACACAAUAAGUAUGCCGCCUGGGGAGUACGGCCGCAAGGUGGAAACUCAAAGGAAUUGACGGGG
rnacentral:rRNA from 1 species